rnacentral:rRNA from 1 species
CGAAGCUGCGGCAGCGACACUGUGUGUUGUUGGGUAGGGGAGCGUUCUGUAAGCCUGCGAAGGUGUGCUGUGAGGCAUGCUGGAGGUAUCAGAAGUGCGAAUGCUGACAUAAGUAACGAUAAAGCGGGUGAAAAGCCCGCUCGCCGGAAGACCAAGGGUUCCUGUCCAACGUUAAUCGGGGCAGGGUGAGUCGACCCCUAAGGCGAGGCCGAAAGGCGUAGUCGAUGGGAAACAGGUUAAUAUUCCUGUACUUGGUGUUACUGCGAAGGGGGGACGGAGAAGGCUAUGUUGGCCGGGCGACGGUUGUCCCGGUUUAAGCGUGUAGGCUGGUUUUCCAGGCAAAUCCGGAAAAUCAAGGCUGAGGCGUGAUGACGAGGCACUACGGUGCUGAAGCAACAAAUGCCCUGCUUCCAGGAAAAGCCUCUAAGCAUCAGGUAACAUCAAAUCGUACCCCAAACCGACACAGGUGGUCAGGUAGAGAAUACCAAGGCGCUUGAGAGAACUCGGGUGAAGGAACUAGGCAAAAUGGUGCCGUAACUUCGGGAGAAGGCACGCUGAUAUGUAGGUGAAGUCCCUCGCGGAUGGAGCUGAAAUCAGUCGAAGAUACCAGCUGGCUGCAACUGUUUAUUAAAAACACAGCACUGUGCAAACACGAAAGUGGACGUAUACGGUGUGACGCCUGCCCGGUGCCGGAAGGUUAAUUGAUGGGGUCAGCGCAAGCGAAGCUCUUGAUCGAAGCCCCGGUAAACGGCGGCCGUAACUAUAACGGUCCUAAGGUAGCGAAAUUCCUUGUCGGGUAAGUUCCGACCUGCACGAAUGGCGUAAUGAUGGCCAGGCUGUCUCCACCCGAGACUCAGUGAAAUUGAACUCGCUGUGAAGAUGCAGUGUACCCGCGGCAAGACGGAAAGACCCCGUGAACCUUUACUAUAGCUUGACACUGAACAUUGAGCCUUGAUGUGUAGGAUAGGUGGGAGGCUUUGAAGUGUGGACGCCAGUCUGCAUGGAGCCGACCUUGAAAUACCACCCUUUAAUGUUUGAUGUUCUAACGUUGACCCGUGAUCCGGGUUGCGGACAGUGUCUGGUGGGUAGUUUGACUGGGGCGGUCUCCUCCUAAAGAGUAACGGAGGAGCACGAAGGUUGGCUAAUCCUGGUCGGACAUCAGGAGGUUAGUGCAAUGGCAUAAGCCAGCUUGACUGCGAGCGUGACGGCGCGAGCAGGUGCGAAAGCAGGUCAUAGUGAUCCGGUGGUUCUGAAUGGAAGGGCCAUCGCUCAACGGAUAAAAGGUACUCCGGGGAUAACAGGCUGAUACCGCCCAAGAGUUCAUAUCGACGGCGGUGUUUGGCACCUCGAUGUCGGCUCAUCACAUCCUGGGGCUGAAGUAGGUCCCAAGGGUAUGGCUGUUCGCCAUUUAAAGUGGUACGCGAGCUGGGUUUAGAACGUCGUGAGACAGUUCGGUCCCUAUCUGCCGUGGGCGCUGGAGAACUGAGGGGGGCUGCUCCUAGUACGAGAGGACCGGAGUGGACGCAUCACUGGUGUUCGGGUUGUCAUGCCAAUGGCACUGCCCGGUAGCUAAAUGCGGAAGAGAUAAGUGCUGAAAGCAUCUAAGCACGAAACUUGCCCCGAGAUGAGUUCUCCCUGACUCCUUGAGAGUCCUGAAGGAACGUUGAAGACGACGACGUUGAUAGGCCGGGUGUGUAAGCGCAGCGAUGCGUUGAGCUAACCGGUACUAAUGAACCGUGAGGCUUAACCUUACAACGCCGAAGGUGUUU